rnacentral:rRNA from 1 species
UACAGAGGUGGCAAGCGUUGUUCGGAAUUACUGGGCGUAAAGGGCGCGUAGGCGGCCUUCUAAGUCAGACGUGAAAUCCCCCGGCUUAACCUGGGAACUGCGUCUGAUACUGGGAGGCUCGAGUGCGGGAGAGGGAUGCGGAAUUCCAGGUGUAGCGGUGAAAUGCGUAGAUAUCUGGAGGAACACCGGUGGCGAAGGCGGCGUCCUGGACCAACACUGACACUGAGGAGCGAAAGCCAGGGGAGCAAACGGG